rnacentral:rRNA from 1 species
GUGGACGGCGGCAUGCUAUACAUGCAAGUCGAACGAGCUUCCGUUGAAUGACGUGCUUGCACUGAUUUCAACAAUGAAGCGAGUGGCGAACUGGUGAGUAACACGUGGGAAAUCUGCCCAGAAGCAGGGGAUAACACUUGGAAACAGGUGCUAAUACCGUAUAACAACAAAAUCCGCAUGGAUUUUGUUUGAAAGGUGGCUUCGGCUAUCACUUCUGGAUGAUCCCGCGGCGUAUUAGUUAGUUGGUGAGGUAAAGGCCCACCAAGACGAUGAUACGUAGCCGACCUGAGAGGGUAAUCGGCCACAUUGGGACUGAGACACGGCCCAAACUCCUACGGGAGGCAGCAGUAGGGAAUCUUCCACAAUGGACGAAAGUCUGAUGGAGCAAUGCCGCGUGAGUGAAGAAGGGUUUCGGCUCGUAAAACUCUGUUGUUAAAGAAGAACACCUUUGAGAGUAACUGUUCAAGGGUUGACGGUAUUUAACCAGAAAGCCACGGCUAACUACGUGCCAGCAGCCGCGGUAAUACGUAGGUGGCAAGCGUUGUCCGGAUUUAUUGGGCGUAAAGCGAGCGCAGGCGGUUUUUUAAGUCUGAUGUGAAAGCCUUCGGCUUAACCGGAGAAGUGCAUCGGAAACUGGGAGACUUGAGUGCAGAAGAGGACAGUGGAACUCCAUGUGUAGCGGUGGAAUGCGUAGAUAUAUGGAAGAACACCAGUGGCGAAGGCGGCUGUCUAGUCUGUAACUGACGCUGAGGCUCGAAAGCAUGGGUAGCGAACAGGAUUAGAUACCCUGGUAGUCCAUGCCGUAAACGAUGAGUGCUAAGUGUUGGAGGGUUUCCGCCCUUCAGUGCUGCAGCUAACGCAUUAAGCACUCCGCCUGGGGAGUACGACCGCAAGGUUGAAA